AACAAUGUGCGCGACGGCCGUUGGUGUUCGUGCGUGCGUUUGUAUUUUCGGAUGCGGAGAUGGGUGACGGCGGAGAGGCUGCGCUUUCUGUGUGUCUUGGUGCGCGUUUCGACUACUCUGUUGUGCUUGGUGCCUUUGAUUGCCUGGAUUACUUCAGCGAACAUGCAUCACGGAGAUUCACGAAGGCUCGGAACCGACGGUGGGUCUGCAAGCAAGAGAGGACGUAGAGCUGUGACUGGAUGAUGCCAAAAGCAGACAUGGAUGUGCAGCGUCAAGCGACGAUCCAACCAGUGACUACUCACGGUGACCACCAGCGGAUGCUGGCCGCUGGCUUCGCAGGCGAUCUUGGCGAUGUCCCCGCGCUUGACGGACACAUCCGACGACGACUUGCUGAUGCGUGGGGGAACUGCACGGGAAAGAGAUGCAGCCGACGUCUUGAAG